UAACGACUCUCGGCAACGGAUAU
rnacentral:miRNA from 1 species